rnacentral:rRNA from 1 species
UACAGAGGGUGCAAGCGUUGUUCGGAAUUAUUGGGCGUAAAGCGCGUGUAGGCGGCUUUGCAAGUCGGGUGUGAAAGCCCUCGGCUCAACCGAGGAAGUGCGCCCGAAACUGCAGAGCUUGAGUGCCAGAGAGGGUGGCGGAAUUCCCCAAGUAGAGGUGAAAUUCGUAGAUAUGGGGAGGAACACCAGUGGCGAAGGCGGCCACCUGGACCGAGAUUGACGCUGAGGCGCGAAAGCCAGGGGAGCAAACGGG